rnacentral:rRNA from 1 species
ACGGAAGGCAGCAGUGGGGAAUAUCGGGCAAUGGGCGCAAGCCUGACCCAGCAACGCCGCGUGAGGGAUGAAGGCCUUCGGGUUGUAAACCUCUGUCCUUGGUGACGAAACAAAUGACGGUAGCCAAGGAGGAAGCCCCGGCUAACUACGUGCCAGCAGCCGCGGUAAUACGUAGGGGGCGAGCGUUGUCCGGAAUUACUGGGCGUAAAGGGUGCGUAGGUGGCACUUUAAGUUGGAUGUGAAAUACCCGGGCUUAACUUGGGGGCUGCAUCCAGUACUGGAGAGCUAGAGUACAGGAGAGGAAAGCGGAAUUCCUAGUGUAGCGGUGAAAUGCGUAGAUAUUAGGAAGAACACCAGUGGCGAAGGCGGCUUUCUGGACUGCAACUGACACUGAGGCACGAAAGUGUGGGGAGCAAACAGGAUUAGAUACCCUGGUA